rnacentral:rRNA from 1 species
GAUGAACGCUGGCGGCGUGCUUAACACAUGCAAGUCGAACGGAGUUAAUGACCAUGAUUUCUUCGGAAUGAUAAUCGUUAACUUAGUGGCGGACGGGUGAGUAACGCGUGAGUAACCUGCCUCAUACAGGGGGAUAACACUUAGAAAUAGGUGCUAAUACCGCAUAAGCGCACAGUUUCGCAUGAAACAGUGUGAAAAACUCCGGUGGUAUGAGAUGGACUCGCGUCUGAUUAGCUAGUUGGUGAGGUAACGGCCCACCAAGGCGACGAUCAGUAGCCGGCCUGAGAGGGUGAACGGCCACAUUGGGACUGAGACACGGCCCAAACUCCUACGGGAGGCAGCAGUGGGGAAUAUUGGACAAUGGGGGAAACCCUGAUCCAGCGACGCCGCGUGAGUGAAGAAGUAUUUCGGUAUGUAAAGCUCUAUCAGCAGGGAAGAUAAUGACGGUACCUGACUAAGAAGCCCCGGCUAACUACGUG